rnacentral:rRNA from 1 species
GACGAACGCUGGCGGCGUGCUUAACACAUGCAAGUCGAACGAUGAAAGCGGGAGCUUGCUCCUGCUGGAUUAGUGGCGAACGGGUGAGUAACACGUGAGCAAUCUGCCCCGAACUCUGGGAUAAGCGUUGGAAACGACGUCUAAUACCGGAUACGACGCGCGAAGGCAUCUUCUGCGCGUGGUAAGAAUUUCGGUUCGGGAUGAGCUCGCGGCCUAUCAGCUAGUUGGUGAGGUAAUGGCUCACCAAGGCGACGACGGGUAGCCGGCCUGAGAGGGUGACCGGCCACACUGGGACUGAGACACGGCCCAGACUCCUACGGAGGCAGCAGUGGGGAAUAUUGCACAAUGGGUGGAAGCCUGAUGCAGCAACGCCGUGUGCGGGAUGACGGCCUUCGGGCGUGUAACCGACUUCGCUCAUGACGAAGCUUUGUGUGACGGUAGUGGGUAAGAAG